UGGGGAGUGGGGUACUUGGCAGCCCGCUAGGUUUUGGUCCUAGAGGACCUGGUUCAAAUCCAGGCUCCCCAG
rnacentral:tRNA from 1 species